rnacentral:rRNA from 1 species
CCUACGGGAGGCAGCAGCGAGGAAUUUUGCGCAAUGGGCGAAAGCCUGACGCAGCAACGCCGCGUGGGGGAUGAAGGCCUUCGGGUUGUAAACCCCUUUUCUUGGGGACGAUGAUGACGGUACCCAAGGAAUAAGCCUCGGCUAACUACGUGCCAGCAGCCGCGGUAAUACGUAGGAGGCGAGUGUUGUCCGGAUUUACUGGGCGUAAAGAGCGCGUAGGCGGCCGGCUAAGUCUGGGGUGAAGUCUCCCGGCUUAACUGGGAGGGGGCGCCGGAUACUGGUGGGCUUGAGGGCAUCAGAGGGAAGUGGAAUUCCGGGUGGAGGGGGGAAAUGCGGAGAUAUCGGGAGGAACACCGGUGGCGAAGGCGGCUCCCUGGGGUGCCCCUGACGCUGAGGCGCGAAAGCGUGGGGAGCAAACGGGAUUAGAUACCCCUGUAGU